CAAAAAUUAAAUAAACUAAAAACAACACGUCAGAAACUCUAAAACUGCAAAAAGUGCCAAAAGGAGACCGUGCAAGAAAGCAACAGUACAGAGAUUCCUAAUCAGCUCCAAAUUGUCGAUCCCAAAACUGGGAUCUAAUUAUGCUAGGAGGAGCCCGACUACUAAGAAGUAUUGCAUUAAUGAGCUUGGGUUAUAAUGGAUGAUCCUUCAAUACAACGAUUGCAUUGAAAUCCAUCGAAGAAUUCCAACUUGAUCAAUGAAGGGAAAAAUCGAGGCAAGGAAAAUAGAUGAAUGUACUAUUCAUUUGGUGUACGGAGAUUUUAUACGUAAAGCACUUUAACGAAGUUGUAGUAUUGCCAUCACAGUUUUAGACGAUACUAAAACCGCGCCAGACUGCAAGGACUGCAAAAAUGAAUCUUUUCGGGGCAAUCCGUCGUAGAUGCUGUAGCUAUGUUUGUCAGGAUGGUUAUCUGUGACCGUAGUAGAUAUAUAAUAAAAAUGUACCCAAAUAAAUAUCUGGCGUUUACGAGGAGGCCGCAAUCACUCGGAUGAAUUCCGAUAGCUAAGGUUGACUGGAAAUGCAUUUGCGAGGCGUCAAAGCAAAUCUCCCCCCAAAUUGAGUAUUUUGGAAUUACGAAAAUCGACCACAACAAUCCGGCGGACCAGCGACUCGAAAUUCGGUUUCAGCGGAAAGAUUAACGCAAAGAAAACAAUCUGUAGCAGUUUGGCUUGGCCAUGUACGCGCCCAAAUAUAAUUCCUUAUAGAUAUUUGCAAUCUUGCGUUACCAUCGGGAAUUACUUUUAAUGUUCAGUGCAUUUAACCUUUCUAAAUAUUGCAGUCAAAUGUUUGUUGCUCAGCCAACACAGUCACCAACAUCAGUGAU